UCAGAGGUUUUUUCAAGGUCUAUCUUGAUCACCAUGUCCGACCUUCGUCCUCAUCAAAUGGAUGAUUUCUUGUGUUAUUAUUAUAUUGUCGUGGAUAUUCCUCUCAGGGACAAAACUAGUUUGAUUUGGCAAUACCAUAUUCCGGUAAGAAAGGAUUUAGAUGAUUAAUAAUCACCUUAGCAACAGUUUUAUACAAUACCAUGCAGAGGCUGAUCGGUCGAAAUUGUUUGACUGUCUCAGGCCUGUCUGUCGACUUUUGGUAUCAACACCAAGAGAGUCCAAU
rnacentral:lncRNA from 1 species